rnacentral:rRNA from 1 species
CCCUUAGAUGUUCGGGGCCGCACGCGCGCUACACUGAAGGAAUCAGCACGUCUUUCUCCUUGUCCGAAAGGACUGGGUAACCCGCUGAACCUCCUUCGUGCUAGGGAUUGGGGCUUGUAAUUCUUCCCCAUGAACGAGGAAUUCCCAGUAAGCGCGAGUCAUAAGCUCGCGUUGAUUACGUCCCUGCCCUUUGUACGCACCGCCCGUCGCUACUACCGAUUGGAUGGUUUAGUGAGAUCCUCGGAUUGGUCCCGGAGCGGCCUCUGGUCGUGCCGGAGUGCCGAAAAGAAUGUCGAACUUGAUCAUCUAGAGGAAGUAAAAGUCGUAACA